GCCCAGCCAUUGGCGAGGCUCGGCCUCGCCAGAUCUAGCGAGGCCCAACCUCGCCGGUGGCUGGGC
rnacentral:pre_miRNA from 1 species